GAUGAACGCUGGCGGCGUGCCUAAUACAUGCAAGUCGAGCGAACAGACGAGGCGCUUGCUCCUUUGACGUUUGCGACGGACGGGUGUGUAACACGUAACUAACCUACCUAUAUGACAGGGAUUACUUCGGGAAACCUGAGCUUACACCGGAUAAUAUUUCGAACCGCAUGGUUUGAUAAUGAAAGUUGGCUUUGCUAUCACUUAUAGAUCGUCCUCCGCCGUUCUUGCUAGUUGGUAACGUAACGACUUAUCAAGGCGACGUUACCUAGCAGACCUCAGAGAGUUAUCCGCCACCCCUGAUCUGAGACACGGUCCAGACUCCUACCGGAUCCAGCAGUCGGGAAUCUUCCGCAAUGGUCGGAAGCCUGCCCUACCAAUCCCGCGUGAUUGAGUAAGGGCUUCGGAUCGUAAAACUCUGUGAUUAGGGAAGAGCAAACUUGUAAGUAACUGUGCACGUCUUGACGGUACCUAAUCAGAAAGCCCCGGCUAACUACGUG
rnacentral:rRNA from 1 species